UACGAAGGGGGCUAGCGUUGCUCGGAAUCACUGGGCGUAAAGCGCACGUAGGCGGCUUUCUAAGUCAGGGGUGAAAUCCUGGAGCUCAACUCCAGAACUGCCUUUGAUACUGGAGAGCUUGAGUCCGGAAGAGGUGAGUGGAACUCCGAGUGUAGAGGUGAAAUUCGCAGAUAUCAGGAAGAACACCUACGGCGAAGGCAGCUCGCUGGGACGGUACUGACGCUGAGACGCGAAAGCGUGGGGAGCAAACAGG
rnacentral:rRNA from 1 species